GACAUAACUGGAUGCGACGGUUCCCCAAGGAAGACUCUACGGGGAUUAAUAGGGAACACGGUGAGGGCGACCCAAAGGGGACCUAGACCGUGGCUGCCCCCGCAACUGUAAGCGGAUUGCCGGUCAUCCCGGAGCGACCAGCUUGCUGGUCAUCUCCCAGGGUCUUCGGACCAUGCCACUGCGCGGAAACGGCGCGGGAAGGCAGAUGAUUGUCAGACAUCCGCGAGCCAGGAGACCUGCCGUCAAUCACGAUCCAAU
rnacentral:ncRNA from 1 species